rnacentral:rRNA from 2 species
UGACCUCAAAUCAGGUAGGACUACCCGCUGAACUUAAGCAUAUCAAUAAGCGGAGGAAAAGAAACUAACAAGGAUUCCCCUAGUAACUGCGAGUGAAGCGGGAAAAGCUCAAAUUUAAAAUCUGGCAGUCUUUGGCUGUCCGAGUUGUAAUCUAGAGAAGCAUUAUCCGCGCUGGACCGUGUACAAGUCUCCUGGAAUGGAGCGUCAUAGAGGGUGAGAAUCCCGUCUUUGACACGGACUGCCAGGGCUUUGUGAUGUGCUCUCAAAGAGUCGAGUUGUUUGGGAAUGCAGCUCAAAAUGGGUGGUAAAUUCCAUCUAAAGCUAAAUAUUGGCGAGAGACCGAUAGCGAACAAGUACCGUGAGGGAAAGAUGAAAAGAACUUUGGAAAGAGAGUUAAACAGUACGUGAAAUUGCUGAAAGGGAAACGCUUGAAGUCAGUCGCGUUGUCCAGGGAUCAAUCUUGCUUUUGCUUGGUGUACUUUCUGGUUAACGGGUCAGCAUCAAUUUUGACUAUUGGAAAAAGAUCAAGGGAAUGUGGCAUCUUCGGAUGUGUUAUAGCCCUUGGUUGCAUACAAUAGUUGGGAUUGAGGAACUCAGCACGCCGCAAGGCCGAGUGUAAUAACUACGUACGUGCUUAGGA